rnacentral:rRNA from 1 species
CCUACGGGGGGCUGCAGUGAGGAAUAUUGGUCAAUGGGAGAGAUCCUGAACCAGCCAAGCCGCGUGAGGGAAGACGGCCCUAUGGGUUGUAAACCUCUUUUGUCGGAGAACAAAACCCGGGACGUGUCCCGGACUGCGUGUAUCCGAAGAAAAAGCAUCGGCUAACUCCGUGCCAGCAGCCGCGGUAAUACGGAGGAUGCGAGCGUUAUCCGGAUUUAUUGGGUUUAAAGGGUGCGUAGGCGGUCCGUUAAGUCAGCGGGAAAAUUGCGGGGCUCAACCCUGUCGAGCCGUUGAUACUGGCAGACUUGAGUUGGCGAGAAGUACGCGGAAUGCGCGGUGUAGCGGUGAAAUGCAUAGAUAUCGCGCAGAACUCCGAUUGCGAAGGCAGCGUACCGGCGCCAGACUGACGCUGAGGCACGAAAGCGUGGGGAUCGAACAGGAUUAGAUACCCUAGUAGUC